rnacentral:rRNA from 1 species
GACGAACGCUGGCGGCGUGCCUAAUACAUGCAAGUAGAACGCUGAAGCUUGGUGCUUGCACCGAGCGGAUGAGUUGCGAACGGGUGAGUAACGCGUAGGUAACCUGCCUGGUAGCGGGGGAUAACUAUUGGAAACGAUAGCUAAUACCGCAUAAGAGUAGAUGUUGCAUGACAUUUGCUUAAAAGGUGCAAUUGCAUCACUACCAGAUGGACCCGCGUUGUAUUAGCUAGUUGGUGAGGUAACGGCUCACCAAGGCAACGAUACAUAGCCGACCUGAGAGGGGGAUCGGCCAAACUGGGACUGGGACAAGGCCCAGACUCCUAAGGGAGGCAGCAGGAGGGAAUCUUCGGGAAUGGACGGAAGGCUGACCGAGCAACGCCGCGUGAGUGAAGAAGGUUUUCGGAUCGUAAAGAUCUGUUGUAAGAGAAGAACGAGUGUGAGAGUGGAAAGUGCACACUGUGACGGUAUCUUACCAGAAAGGGACGGCUAACUACGUG